AUGCUUAAUGCAGAGAAGUGGAAGAAAGUAGGAAUGGCCUGACGUUUUAGUCGGGUUUGGCCGAUCUCUGGAGUCCAUGAAAAGAGGAUAGAAAUGAAUUCUUUAUGUUCGUACCGAGAUCCGACACAGGUGCCCCUUGGUGAGAAGCCUAAGGCGUGUUGGGAUACUCCAGUUAAGGGAACUCGGCAAAAUAGCUCCGUAACUUUGGGAUAAGGAGUGCGUACUGUCUUCAUUGGACGGUACGUCUCAGUAACGUGAGGGCUACGACUGUUUAAUAAAAACACAGCUAGCUGCUAUCCUGUAAAGGUUUGUACAGCUGGUGACAUCUGCUCAGUGCCGGCACGUUAAGCCCGGUUUCAACCGGGGGAAGCGCCGGUAAACGGCGGGAGUAACAAUAACUCUCUUAAGGUAGCGUAAUACCUUGCCGCUUAAUUGGCGGCUUGCAUGAAUGGUGUAACGAGAGCCCUACUGUCCCUAACUGGAACCUAGUGAAACCACUUCCUGGUGGAUAUGCCAGGGUCCCCCGAUGGGAAGCGAAGACCCCAUGGAGUUUUACUACAGCCUGUCGUUGUCGCUUGGAUUUUGAUGUAGAGCGUAGUUGGUAGCCAUCGAAGCAAUCUCGUCAGGGAUUGUGGAGGCGAAUAUGGAACACCAACCUUCUAGGUCUAAGCGACUAACCAACAUUGUUAUUGUUGGGACACCGGUAGGUAGGUAGUUUGGCUGGGGCGGUACGCCCUCGAGAAGAUAUCGAGGGCGCCCUAAGGUUGACUCAGGUGGGUCAGGAAUCCACCGUAGAGGGCAAGGCCAAAAGUCAGCCUGACUGGAUAUUGCACCACAAGAUAUCCAGAGGCGAAAGCCGGGCCUAGCGAACUCCAAUGCCUCCUUGAUGGGGGCUUGGACUAACAGAAAAACUACCCUGGGGAUAACUGAGUCGUCCGGGGCAAGAGCCCACAUCGACCCCCGGGCUUGCUACCUCGCUGUCGGUUCUUUCCAUCCUGGGUCUGCACAGGACCCAAGGGUGGGGUUGUUCGCCCAUUAAAGGAGAACGUGAGCUGGGUUUAGACCGUCGUGAGACAGGUUAGUUGCUAUCUAUCGGGGGUGUUGGUCGUCUGAAGGGAAGGUAGUCCCAGUACGAGAGGAACAGACUGCCGUGGCCUCUGGUGUACCAGUUGUCUGAUAAGGCAUCGCUGGGUAGCUACGCCAUAGUUAAUAAGGGCUGAAAGCAUCUAAGCCCGAAAUAACCCCUGAAAAUAGACUACCACUG
rnacentral:rRNA from 1 species